rnacentral:rRNA from 1 species
UCCUACGGGGCGCAGCAGUGAGGAAUAUUGGUCAAUGGGCGAGAGCCUGAACCAGCCAAGUCGCGUGAGGGAGUACUGCCCUAUGGGUUGUAAACCUCUUUUGUCGGGGAGCAAAAGCCGGACGUGUCCGGCUGUGAGAGUACCCGAAGAAAAAGCAUCGGCUAACUCCGUGCCAGCAGCCGCGGUAAUACGGAGGAUGCGAGCGUUAUCCGGAUUUAUUGGGUUUAAAGGGUGCGUAGGCGGUCCGUUAAGUCAGCGGUAAAAUUGCGGGGCUCAACCCCGUCGAGCCGUUGAAACUGGCAGAC